UUCUUGGAGAGUUUGAUCCUGGCUCAGGACGAACGCUGGCGGCGUGCUUAAUACAUGCAAGUCGAACGGAAUCCAUGCAGUGGCAACACUGUUGAAGAUUUAGUGGCGAACGGGUGCGUAACACGUGAGCAACCUGCCCCAAAGACUGGGAUAACACCGGGAAACCGGUGCUAAUACCGGAUAAUCCUUCCCCGCACAUGAGGGGAAGUUUAAAAGACGGUUUCGGCUGUCCCUUACAGUUGGGCCCGCGGCGCUUUAGCUCGUUGGUGAGGUCACGGCUCACCAAGG
rnacentral:rRNA from 1 species